AACCCUGGAGGAUCAUUACCAGUGACCCCGGUCUAACCACCGGGAUGUUCAUAACCCUUUGUUGUCCGACUCUGUUGCCUCCGGGGCGACCCUGCCUUCGGGCGGGGGCUCCGGGUGGACACUUCAAACUCUUGCGUAACUUUGCAGUCUGAGUAAACUUAAUUAAUAAAUUAAAACUUUUAACAACGGAUCUCUUGGUUCUGGCAUCGAUGAAGAACGCAGCGAAAUGCGAUAAGUAAUGUGAAUUGCAGAAUUCAGUGAAUCAUCGAAUCUUUGAACGCACAUUGCGCCCCCUGGUAUUCCGGGGGGCAUGCCUGUUCGAGCGUCAUUUCACCACUCAAGCCUCGCUUGGUAUUGGGCAACGCGGUCCGCCGCGUGCCUCAAAUCGACCGGCUGGGUCUUCUGUCCCCUAAGCGUUGUGGAAACUAUUCGCUAAAGGGUGUUCGGGAGGCUACGCCGUAAAACAACCCCAUUUCUAAGGUUGACCUCGGAUCAGGUAGGGAUACCCGCUGAACUUAAGCAUAUCAAUAA
rnacentral:misc_RNA from 1 species